GAUGAACGCUGGCGGCGUGCCUAAUACAUGCAAGUCGAGCGAACGGACGAGAAGCUUGCUUCUCUGAUGUUAGCGGCGGACGGGUGAGUAACACGUGGAUAACCUACCUAUAAGACUGGGAUAACUUCGGGAAACCGGAGCUAAUACCGGAUAAUAUUUUGAACCGCAUGGUUCAAAAGUGAAAGACGGUCUUGCUGUCACUUAUAGAUGGAUCCGCGCUGCAUUAGCUAGUUGGUAAGGUAACGGCUUACCAAGGCAACGAUGCAUAGCCGACCUGAGAGGGUGAUCGGCCGCCUUAGAACGGAGCCAAGGACCAAGCUCAUAGGGGAGGAAGCAGUGGGGAUGCUCCCGGAAGGGGAGAACGCGCGAGGGAGAAGGCCGGGGGGAGGUAUGAUGGUCUUAGGAUUGUAAAAUUCUUUUAUUGGGGAAGAACAUAGUUGUAAGUAACUGUACAAAUUUGGGCGGUACAUGAAAGAAAGGCCAGGGGUAACUACGCC
rnacentral:rRNA from 1 species